AUUGAACGCUGGCGGCAUGCCUUACACAUGCAAGUCGAACGGCAGCACGGAGCUUGCUCUGGUGGCGAGUGGCGAACGGGUGAGUAAUAUAUCGGAACGUACCCUAGAGUGGGGGAUAACGUAGCGAAAGUUACGCUAAUACCGCAUACGAUCUAAGGAUGAAAGUGGGGGAUCGCAAGACCUCAUGCUCGUGGAGCGGCCGAUAUCUGAUUAGCUAGUUGGUAGGGUAAAAGCCUACCAAGGCAUCGAUCAGUAGCUGGUCUGAGAGGACGACCAGCCACACUGGAACUGAGACACGGUCCAGACUCCUACGGGAGGCAGCAGUGGGGAAUUUUGGACAAUGGGCGAAAGCCUGAUCCAGCAAUGCCGCGUGAGUGAAGAAGGCCUUCGGGUUGUAAAGCUCUUUUGUCAGGGAAGAAACGGUGAGAGCUAAUAUCUCUUGCUAAUGACGGUACCUGAAGAAUAAGCACCGGCUAACUACGUGCCAGCAGCCGCGGUAAUACGUAGGGUGCAAGCGUUAAUCGGAAUUACUGGGCGUAAAGCGUGCGCAGGCGGUUUUGUAAGUCUGAUGUGAAAUCCCCGGGCUCAACCUGGGAAUUGCAUUGGAGACUGCAAGGCUAGAAUCUGGCAGAGGGGGGUAGAAUUCCACGUGUAGCAGUGAAAUGCGUAGAUAUGUGGAGGAACACCGAUGGCGAAAGCAGCCCCCUGGGUCAAGAUUGACGCUCAUGCACGAAAGCGUGGGGAGCAAACAGGAUUAGAUACCCUGGUAGUCCACGCCCUAAACGAUGUCUACUAGUUGUCGGGUCUUAAUUGACUUGGUAACGCAGCUAACGCGUGAAGUAGACCGCCUGGGGAGUACGGUCGCAAGAUUAAAACUCAAAGGAAUUGACGGGGACCCGCACAAGCGGUGGAUGAUGUGGAUUAAUUCGAUGCAACGCGAAAAACCUUACCUACCCUUGACAUGGCUGGAAUCCCCGAGAGAUUGGGGAGUGCUCGAAAGAGAACCAGUACACAGGUGCUGCAUGGCUGUCGUCAGCUCGUGUCGUGAGAUGUUGGGUUAAGUCCCGCAACGAGCGCAACCCUUGUCAUUAGUUGCUACGAAAGGGCACUCUAAUGAGACUGCCGGUGACAAACCGGAGGAAGGUGGGGAUGACGUCAAGUCCUCAUGGCCCUUAUGGGUAGGGCUUCACACGUCAUACAAUGGUACAUACAGAGCGCCGCCAACCCGCGAGGGGGAGCUAAUCGCAGAAAGUGUAUCGUAGUCCGGAUUGUAGUCUGCAACUCGACUGCAUGAAGUUGGAAUCGCUAGUAAUCGCGGAUCAGCAUGUCGCGGUGAAUACGUUCCCGGGUCU
rnacentral:rRNA from 1 species